GGGGCAGUGGCGCAGUCCGGUAGCGCACCUCGUUCGCAACGAGGGGGCCGCGGGUUCAAGUCCCGCCUGCUCCACCA
rnacentral:tRNA from 1 species